rnacentral:misc_RNA from 1 species
UUAACUAUUAUAUAGUACUCAGACGACAUUAAAUUCAGAGUUUGGGGUCCUCUGGCAGGCGCUCACCAGCCGGAGCCGGUGGCCGAGGCAGGCCUGCCAAAGCAACAAAGGUAUAAAUACACGGGUGGGAGAUCUACCCCGAAGGGCAUGAACUCUGUAAUGAUCCCUCCGCAGGUUCACCUACGGAGA